UACGUAGGGAGCAAGCGUUGUCCGGAUUUAUUGGGCGUAAAGAGCUCGUAGGCGGUUCGGUAAGUCCGCUGUGAAAGUCGGGGGCUCAACCCUCGAAAGCCGGUGGAUACUGUCGGACUAGAGUACGGAAGAGGCGAGUGGAAUUCCUGGUGUAGCGGUGAAAUGCGCAGAUAUCAGGAGGAACACCAAUUGCGAAGGCAGCUCGCUGGGACGUUACUGACGCUGAGGUGCGAAAGCGUGGGGAGCAAACAGG
rnacentral:rRNA from 1 species